UUCUAUUUUGUAACAGUUUUUAGAUUCUUCUGUUCUUUGUUGUGUUAGUUCGGCAAAAUAUGGAUUUUAACAACCGAGACGCAAACCAGGUAGCAAAGUUCGAUUCAGGAUGGCAAGCUCUCGUGAAUUCGCCAGAGUUGAUAACGAAAGAAGAAUGCGUGGCUACAGACGUGUCGAUGAGUGACUUCAAUUUUGAAACGGUCAUCAAAUGGUUUAAGGUCUGCAUCAGACUUGGGGACAAGAUCCCUGACAAGGAAAGAGACUUGUACACCCUCAACCUCAUGGAGAACAUGAAGAAAUCAACAGAGGAGUUUUUCUCGUCGUCCCAACUGGAUUACAGCACUUUGGGCAAGAUCGAAAACACAUUUUCCGACAUGUUCGACGAGCUAGUUUACCCUUCUGACCUUUGGAGAAAGAUUUAAUAAUUCUUCAGUUCAAGUUUAAUUCGAGUGAGAAAUGCAGCGGAUCUGACGACGAGAGAGAUAUAUGGAAUCUCCAAAUAGUCGCACUCAUUUCGAUAAUUCUACUAUUGUUAAUAAUAUUUAUUUGCGUUUGCGUCUGGUGCAUGAAGCUGUGUAAAAUAAAGAAAGUGUGUGAGAAAGACUGCACCUACGACAGAGGCAGGUACUGCUGCAUCGACGAGAACAACUGCCCCGAAUGUUGUGAAUACAUGAAGAAAUCAGGACUUAAAUUUGAGAAAACGCGGUCAGAAUUAGGCCAAAAUGCUGGUAGUUUCACGACGCUGGGAAAGAAAAAGAAUAUAAGUCUCACUUCUAAGUCUUCAGGAUGAAUUCGAUUUCUAUAUUCUAGAGAAAUCCUCCAAGGAAAACCACUCCAACGCUGCUCCAAUCCGUAAAUAAAUAAAUGCAGUCCCAUUGUAUUUAUAUAUAAAAUCUGUCCCGUGUAAAUAAUGACUCCAUGCAGUGACAUUACCAACAUUUUGAAAUCGCGUGGGUUUCGAGUACCCCGGAGCCAGGGUCACGACAACGCGGGUGUAGGUGUUGCGAAAAACGCCUCCGUACUCUCAUACAGGGGCAAAAAGUUUAGUUCACCGAGUCGGUGGACGGGAUCGGCCAGAUCCCGGCAUCUAAUUGCCCACGUGGCGCCAGCACGUGUUAAUUACAAGGUGGCACUGUGGUCUGUUAUGCUAAUGCAGUCGUGACCCGUCUAGGCAUUUGUUGCGGGUCCGAGUCAAUCUGGAGAUAUACAUCUUCGUAUUCAUUUCUACCAUCGUGCAUACAUUGGCCUUCAAAGCGGCCAAAGCUGUACAGGUGCAUCAAGUCGCAUUCGUUCAAGCUAAUUGCGUCAACAGAAAACCUCGGCACAGUUAGUAGUUGGCAACGCCAAGAGAUAACAUUAAAAACAAUGUAGU